rnacentral:rRNA from 1 species
GACCGAUAGUGAACCAGUACCGUGAGGGAAAGGCGAAAAGAACCCCGGCGAGGGGAGUGAAAAAGAACCUGAAACCGUGUACGUACAAGCAGUGGGAGCCCCACCACUAAGCCAGUGGUGAACUCCACAUACGCAUCCUUUGCUGAGGAUACGGUUAACGGAGCGAAAGCGACGUUCAACCGCAAAAGAAGCAGAGGGGGCUUAGUGGUGGGGUGACUGCGUACCUUUUGUAUAAUGGGUCAGCGACUUAUAUUCUGUAGCAAGGUUAACCGAAUAGGGGAGCCGGAGGGAAACCGAGUCUUAAUUGGGCG